rnacentral:rRNA from 1 species
UAGGGAAUCUUCGGCAAUGGACGAAAGUCUGACCGAGCAACGCCGCGUGAGUGAAGAAGGUUUUCGGAUCGUAAAACUCUGUUGUUAGAGAAGAACAAGGACGUUAGUAACUGAACGUCCCCUGACGGUAUCUAACCAGAAAGCCACGGCUAACUACGUGCCAGCAGCCGCGGUAAUACGUAGGUGGCAAGCGUUGUCCGGAUUUAUUGGGCGUAAAGCGAGCGCAGGCGGUUUCUUAAGUCUGAUGUGAAAGCCCCCGGCUCAACCGGGGAGGGUCAUUGGAAACUGGGAGACUUGAGUGCAGAAGAGGAGAGUGGAAUUCCAUGUGUAGCGGUGAAAUGCGUAGAUAUAUGGAGGACUACCAGUGGCGAAGGCGGCUCUCUGGUCUGUAACUGACGCUGAGGCUCGAAAGCGUGGGGAGCAAACAGG